GACGAACGCUGGCGGCGUGCUUAACACAUGCAAGUCGAACGGAAAGGCCCUGCUUUUGUGGGGUGCUCGAGUGGCGAACGGGUGAGUAACACGUGAGUAACCUGCCCUUGACUUUGGGAUAACUUCAGGAAACUGGGGCUAAUACCGGAUAGGAGCUCCUGCUUCAUGGUGGGGGUUGGAAAGUUUCGGCGGUUGGGGAUGGACUCGCGGCUUAUCGGCUUGUUGGUGGGGUAGUGGCUUACCAAGGCUUUGACGGGUAGCCGGCCUGAGAGGGUGACCGGCCACAUUGGGCCUGAGAUAAGGCCCAGACUCGAACGGGAGGCAGCGGUGGGGAAGAUUGCACAAUGGGAGGAAGCGUGAUGCAGCAAAGCCGCGUGCGGGAUGACGUGCUUCGGGUUGUAAACCGAUUUCGCCUGUGACGAAGCGUGAGUGACGGUAAUGGGUAAAGAAGCACCGGCUAACUACGUG
rnacentral:rRNA from 1 species